UCACCGGUAGGCGCGCGGAGGGACACGGCGUCCUGCAGCCGGACGCAUUGAACACGCUGAACGGACACCGAGGCUCGGCGACCGAGGAGCGGUUCCAGCGCGACCCCGACGUUUAUCCCAGAGAUCCACGUCACAAAGAGAAGUUCAUCAAAUACCUGGCAGGGCCACUUUAUGUCAAACCAAAGUGCAGAAAACACUUCUUCAGACUCUAUCAUAGCUCCAGGGACUGCAGCGUACCAGCCUAUUAUAAAAGAUGUGUCCGUCUGCUGACCCGCCUGACCUCCAGUCCACCCUGCACAGACAGAUGAUUUCACCAACACGCCUGUGGACUUGAUCUGUUGCCAUAGCAACAGGACACUGAGGAAAAGAUGUUUGAGGUUCUGAGGUCCAGCAUAGGUUUCACAGAGACCUUUGACCCGUCACAUCCACAGACCUGCCCCUCCUGUCCUUUGUGUCCCCGUCCCUCCCCGUUUGAAUGAUGUCAGGGACUUUUUGUGGACGUCUCUGUCAGUGUUGACAUGGAUCGCUGCACCGAAAUCAACAAAAACCGUGGAAAAUAUGCAGAUUGAACAAGAUGUUUCUGUCCCGAGGCUGAACGUCUUUUCGUAGCAGACAGCAGUGUUUGUGUUUGUAUUGAUGACAGAAGAUGAGCCAAUAAGCAACAUUUGAUUUUCCACAUGAUCAGAGGAGGUAGAACUAAAAGAACAAAUCUGCUUCUUGGACCUCUUUUUUUUAUU